UAAUGCAAGUGUUAGUGUUAUGAGCACGGUGCUCCAAAGAGCACACAAGAAUUUGUGUAUUACGAUUAGGGAUGACAAUUUACCCGUGGGUAACGGACAGGGCCGGCCCUUGUGUGUAUCAAGUGGGGCAAUGGCCUAGGGCCCCAAAUUUUUGGGGGCCCCAAAAUAUAGAUCCAAUACUAAUGUUAUACCUUAAUUAAAAAAAAAAAAAAACUUUCACUACCUAUAGGUCAGCAAUCAACAGCAAGAUAAAAAAAAAUUAUAUUCCAAAUUCCUAAUCUUAAAUGGUA
rnacentral:lncRNA from 1 species